AACCUUUGCUGUCUUGGGACGGAUCACCACUGCAAGAGGGGAAGUUGCUACUGUGAUGAAUUCUGCCAUGUGGCACCAGACUGCCACCCAGACCACAGUGUCCUCUGCAACCCUGCUUCUCAGAUGACCAAGAUGGUGCUGCAGAUGGUGCUGAGGAUGGAGAACCCACCAAGCCCCGCUAGGAGCCACCUAGACUGGAUGCAGAGCAUGAUUUGAAGAUUGUACCAGGAGAGCCGCAGUGUUCCAGAGCUACUGAGGGGGCUGGGCUGGGAUUUGCUGUAUUCGAGAAGACCCCCUUGGACCCGAGAGGCUGUGGGCUUGGGGAGCAUGAGGAGGUUUCACAGCAGAAAGGACACCCCGGGGCUCCUGGAUAAGCCAGAAAAUGUGCCAGGGGAAGUCGGGCUCCAAGGGCACCACUCUGGGCUUCCAGCUGUGUGGGCUGGACCAAGAAGGCUCAGAGAAAUGAUCUCAGGCUUGAAGUGGGGAGAAGAAACUGUAUUAUGAAGGCAGACGAACAGUUCCUGCAAAGCCCCAGCACCCGCAGAGCAGACACUGCGAUGACAACGGACGACACAGAAGUGCCCGCUAUGACUCUAGCACCGGGCCACGCCGCUCUGGAAACUCAAACGCUGAGCGCUGAGACCUCUUC
rnacentral:misc_RNA from 1 species